rnacentral:rRNA from 1 species
UACGGAGGGUGCAAGCGUUAUCCGGAUUCACUGGGUUUAAAGGGUGCGUAGGAGGGCAGGUAAGUCAGUGGUGAAAUCCCCGAGCUCAACUCGGGAACUGCGUCCGAUACUGGCGGGCUUGAAUCCGGGAGAGGGAUGCGGAAUUCCAGGUGUAGCGGUGAAAUGCGUAGAUAUCUGGAGGAACACCGGUGGCGAAGGCGGCAUCCUGGACCGGCAUUGACGCUGAGGCGCGAAAGCUAGGGGAGCAAACGGG